GGAAAAUGUGGUGCCACUUCCUUUUGGCCUCCGUGGUUUCUGAUGAGAAAUUCACUGUCAUUCAAAUUGUUUUUCCCCUCUAGUUUCCCCUGAUACCACAUGGGUCAAGGCAAGGCAGAGCUCUGUACCACUGGAUGGUGGUGAAAAUUAUGGUUUUCCAUCUAUCUUCCUCUGAUACUGGGGAAGGGGGAGAUGCCACCUCAUUACCACUGGGUGGAACAGAGACACCUGUGUAUACUCCAUCUUGGUCUGGAGAUCUAAUCUUACAAGAAAAGAACCCUGAGCCCCAAAGCACACGGAGAAGGGUUAGGCUUGACCGCGGCUUCCCACAGUGGCUCAGUGGAUAGACCACCAAGAUGGGACAGCGCUAAGCAGUGUUUGCUAAGCCGUGAGCUCUCAGCCUUCAACUCACAUCACACACUUGAUCUAUUUGGUAUGUUUUCAACUGCUCAGCCAUUGUACUCACUAGAUUUUGUUUUGCAGAAACAAGCCCUCCUUCUCAAAGUGAAAAUUUGCCAUUGUUUAAGAUUUAAAAGAAAAAACUCCUACUGACCCUGAACAUUUUUCUAGAAGCAAAGUUAUAGCACUGUAGCUAGAAUGCACGCUAUCCUCCAAGAGAAUUUGUUUAUUUGGGGUAUCACUUCUGAAGCGAAGUGAAGUGAAGUGAAGUAUUGUUUGUCAGACAAACCAAACAAGUCACCUUCCUUAGACAUAAUCUCUCCCUUCUAUCUUCAGUGGGUCACAGGGACCCCUGGGGGCUCUGUAUUAUUAUAACUUCCUGGAGAAAGGCCAGGCUUUGGGCUCCAAUGAAUCAACAAAAAUGUAUUGUGUGCGAAGCAUGGAGGUGCUGACAGAAGGACAACAUUUGCUUUAGCCCUGGAAGAGUCUGUUAAGGAUUCAGUGACCAGUUUCACCUGCAAAUAAGUUCUCAUCUCUUUUCAGUAUUAUAAUUACCAAACACCUAUAGGCUACAUUUCACAGGAAGUGCAGCAUUUCUGUCAACAUUUUCUUUUUUAAACCUUCAUUCCUGGGGUGCCUGGGUGGCUCAGUCGGUUAAGCGUUUGACUUCAG